rnacentral:lncRNA from 1 species
UCUUAUUUCUCUCUCUUCUCAUUUUUUCUUUCUUCUUAAUUCAACCCUUAUCUCAUUCCUCUCUCUUCCCGUUUUUUCUUUCUUCCUUCCUAUUUCUCUAUUUCUUCUUCUUCUUUUUCUUAUUAGAAUGUUGCGUUGGCUAAGAAUAUUUGGUCCUUUUUUUCCAACAUUGCAGUGAUUUGAGAAUGUUAAUUGUUGAUGAUCCAAAAUUAUGAUUUUUGAAGAGGUAAUUAGACAGUGAUGAUUGAAAUACAAUUGAAAUUGAAAUCUGAUUUCAGAAUCUGAUUUUUGAUGAUAAUUUUGUUAGCAAAAUUUUAUUCCAUGAUAAAAUUAGAAUGCAAUUGAAAUUUGAGAUUUUUUUAAUUGAUUUCAUGGUGUUUGGUUUGAAUUGAUUCGAAUUUGAUGGAGGUGAUGAUGGUUGAAAGAAAUGGUGGGUUGUUGGUUAGAAAUUUUUGAUGGAAUUUCUUUGAAAAAUGAAGUUGAGGGUUCUUUAAAGUUGGAUUUCUUUGAUUUGUUUGAAUCAAGAAUAGGGUAAAAAUGAGGUUUUUGAGAAAAGUGAUGCUGAAAAUGUAGAUUUUUUAAAGUUGAAUUCUUUGAGUUAUUUGAAUAAAAAACAAGAUAAAAAUGGGGUCUUUGAGAAAAGUGAUGUUGAAAAUGAGGGUACUUUAAAGUUAAAUUCUUUG